AGAUUGAACGCUGGCGGAAUGCUUUACACAUGCAAGUCGAACGGCAGCACGGGGGUAACCCUGGUGGCGAGUGGCGAACGGGUGAGUAAUACAUCGGAACGUGCCCAGUCGUGGGGGAUAACGUAGCGAAAGCUACGCUAAUACCGCAUACGAACUCUGGUUGAAAGCGGGGGACUCGCAAGAGCCUCGCGCGAUUGGAGCGGCCGAUGGCAGAUUAGGUAGUUGGUGGGGUAAAGCUCACCAAGCCUGCGAUCUGAGCUGGUCUGAGAGGACGACCAGCCACACGUGGACUGAGACACGGCCCAGACUCCGUACGGGAGGCAGCAGUGGGGAAUUUUGGACAAUGGGCGCAAGCCGUGAACUCCAGCCAUUCCGCGUUGCCAGGAUGGAACGGCCCUUCGGGUUCGUAAACUGU
rnacentral:rRNA from 1 species